AACUAAAAAAAAUCUGUCUUGUCUCGUUCGUCUCGCUCUGGAUCAGCUACGACUCUGGAAAAAGAAGCUUGCGCAUGAGGCCUACCUCGACCUUUCGUAAAUCAAAGGCAUAUUUAACUAGUUUGUUAUUUGUUUUGUAUUUAAAACCAGUUUAUUGUAGUUCGUUUUUGACCUUUUUUAAGAAUAUGUCGAAAUUACUGUUAUUUUAUGACAACAUUUUGGUUUUUACGGGACUAUGCAAGAAUCCUCGGUCUCCAGUAUCAAGCGAUCAGUGUUCUUUUCAGUACUUCAACUGGGAAAGUCUGGGGAAAGCCUGCGGUGUUAAAUUACAAUACCCGUGAAAUACUUUACCAUAAUUCAAACGGAAAAGCUUGAAAUACACGUUUUCAGAGCAAACGUCGCUUUAAUUUGUAAUGUAAAUGGAAGAUUUUUCUGAAUUAGGGACGAGAUUGGAAGGCCACGUUUAACGCAGUGACACAGCCUGGCUUUGGCGGUAAGAAGUGUCUUGUUAGCUAACAAAAGUCCAUGCAAAUUUUAAAAUGUAUAGUUAUGAACUAGUAACAUCAACUAGUAAACUAACAUUUGGUUGGUGUUAAGUCAAGUAUUAAUGUUUUAUUAUCCUCGAGUUAGAUAAUCGUUUAAGAAUACUUAGUAGGUAACGUUGGCUUGUUGGAGAUGCGGCCAGCUAGCAGCGUUACCCCUUUGUGGGAGCAAGCGAGCUAAACUGUGAAACCCGCCAGUUUGAUACUGUAAUUACUUAAGGGUGGUAAAUUACCAACUUGUUUUAGAUAUUAUUUUUGCGCUGAUUUAUUUGUUACAAUGUCACGGAUGCCAAUAUAGACGCAUCUGAUGGCUUUAAUAUGUUGUUUAGUUUGCAAACAAAAAUGGCCACCGGGACUCCUGGGAGACCAGGUCGCUAGCUAGCAAGCCAACCUCAAACACUAUGUGCCAUGUUGUUCAAAGGCAUAACUUUGCGUGUAAAUCCAUAGGAAAUACAGGGUGGCAUUUAAUCUUCGUUUUUAUCAUUUAGUUAACUACCUAUUUAUCCACAUGUUGCGUGGUCUGUUAGCUGGCUGGCUGGCUAGUUAACCGAGUUGUAGACAUGGUCAAAACACUGGUCAUGGUUUUGUCUGGCACUGUCAGAGCAGAUAACAACUCAUGACAUUUCCUGUUAAUAUCUUCAAUAUAUGUACAAAUAUUUAAUAUGAUACUUGACUAUUUACACGAAUAUUUGUUUCCCUGUCUGUAUUGCUUGCUAGUAACAAUAGUUACCAAAUUGGUAACUUUGUACAUUCGUUGGAACCUCGUCUCAACAUGGCGGUGUUGUGACUGGUGCUUUUGCUUCUUGUUGGCAAGAAAAAUUGAGUCUUGUUAGGUACCAGCUAACUUGAAAGUUUGCCUUCACCAGAAUGGAUUGAGCAUGCCUCGAAAAGAGUUGACAAUCGAUUGUGUAACGUUCGAUUGCUUCAUGUUGGCUAGCCAGGCCAGAGCGAAUGGCUGCCCACCUGACCCCUUUGUGGAGCGACUCCACUUCCUGUUCCCCUUUUAAGAUGACCCCUGACCUUUAAACCUGAGGUCAACACCUCUGGACUUACCACUUAAGCAGCACGGCGAGCGCAGGCAGACAUUCCUUCAGCGAAUGUGUUUGUUUGAGUGGAUCACCAUCCUUCAGAAAGGG